GGGGGAGCCGCAUCUGCGACCUAUACCACAGCUCAUAGCAACGCGGGAUCGCUGACCCACUGAGCAAAGCCAGGUGUCGAACCCACAUCCUCAUGGAUGCUAGUCGGAUUCGUUUCCACUGCACCGUGACCGGAACUCCCUAGUAGCUUCUUUAUAUUUCAGACACUUUUCUGACUGAAGCUUUAGCUGACAGCAUAAAUACAUUCAUUUUGCUUUCACAUCAAUUGAUUUUAGCUAAUUAGGAGCAUUGGGGGGGGCUUAAUUUGAUAAGGAAGUGUGAAUGUGUUUUCCCCCCACAGCAGGAUUGUUAUUUGCUGGAGUAUUAGGGGAGAUUAAUUAGGCACCGUUCUUCUGUCAGGUUGAUGGUUUUUAAACAGCAUUCCCCACACAGAAGCUAAAAUGGUCAGAGUGAAAGCUGGGGUUUGGCCAUUGGUUUGAUUUGUCGGGUCAGGUUAGUUGCCUCUGGAAUGGGAAUCUGACAGAGAUGAACACUUGUAUGCCCAAGAGGCACCAAGUCUGACCUCUCCUUUUACAGACAUUCCUCCUACUGCAGGUCUCCCCCUCAUUUCAGAACCUCUCAGAGGAGGCUGUCUCUCUUCAGGCACUGUCGUUCUCUCCCAACCCAACAGCAUCCAGUUUGGUGUUCAUCCUGGCUCUUCUGAAUUUUAAAGCCAGAGUCGCAGGUUUUGAAAAUUCACUGGCCCUGAAGUAUUUGCAGAAAAUCUUUUGAACAGUUUGGGCCCUGGGAUUUCUUUGUUCAGUCUCUUCUGCUGAAGGCAGAGCAGGGCUGGCUGGCUGUGGGUCGGCCAGGAGCAGUGAAGCAAAGGGAAACAAACAACAGAGCAGCUGAGAUUCCUGCUAGGAGCUUGUUUGUAGAUGGAGCCCAUUCAGUGUCUUUUGUUUAUUUGUGAGGCUUUACGUAGGGAAUGCAUAAAAAGGAACUUGAAAUAAGUAACCAUUUAGGAAAGGAAAAAAGGGACGUCUGACCACAACAUUUUUAAUUUUGAGGCGGAGAGAAAUGCUCAUUUAUAUAAUGUGGAUUCUCUGUGAAGAUACGGUUGCUCUCUAAGGCAUGUGCUUUGUGUUCCCUUUGUUUCUCUUGUUUUAAACUAAUCAUUUACCCAUUUGUCUCUUAUCCUGCUUGGGAUCAAUUCAUAAAUCCAUAAAUAAAAUAAUCUCUGAAUGUCUUCCAGUAGUAACCAUUUGAUUGUGCAAAUCAAACCUUGAAUGCUAGUCUUAUUACCAAAAGACUAGUUGAAUUGUUAAAACCUUCAUGGGCAAUACCUGCCAUUGUCUGAUAUUUAUAACUAUAUUGACUAUAUAUGCCUAAAAUAGAGUGGAGGGAGGAACCUCUUAACAGAGUGCCUGGCUCUCUGAAAGAGUUCUUGGUAGAGUGGAAAAAAUAGGAUAUUUGGAGAUGCCAUCUAUCUGUUGGUUAUAAAUUUGUUCAGUUGGUCUUUAUGAUUUAGUUGUCUUCUUUGUAAAAUGCAGAUAAUAAUGCCUAUCUUCUAGCAUACUUUAUCAGUAUUAAUUUUUUUCUUUUAUUGUCCUAGUGUUUAGCCUGAUCCUUCUUUAUUUUAAAACAAAAGCCACAACCAUUUAAGAAUGGUUGGCAAAUAAUAUGUAUUUGUUUAUAUUCUGUUGCCCCCCAUUAAUAUAAGCUCCAUGACGAUGUGGUAUGUGUCUCAUUCACCACUGCAUUCCCCGCUCCUGUCAUGCAGCAGAUAUUCAAUAAACAUUUGUUGUACAACUCAGUGAAAUAUCAGCUAUUAUGGCUCCUAAUAUUAAUAUUAUUCUUAUUUUUUGUAGUUAAAAAUGAACUAGCUAAAAUCCAACAUAAACAUAAAUUAUACAAAAAUAAAAGCAGUAUUUAUAUUUAUAUUUGAAAUAAGGCUAAAAAUGAAUUAUGUAAGCUUCCAUCACAAAAACACAGGAAGAAAGAAAAUAAAAAACAAAGGAAAAGAAAAAAAUUCUAAAAUUAAGAUUAGAAAUUGAUGAAAAAGGAAACAAACAUAAAAGAAAGUCACCAAACCAAAUUUGAUUUAUUAAAAAUACUGACAAAAGUGAUAAAUCUUUAACAAACUGACCCAGGGAAAAAGAGAGAAAACAAAAUAUUACCAACAACAUCAGAAAUUAGAAAGGUGGGUUUUAAUAUAGACACUAAAAACAUUUUUUUUUUUUUUUUUUUUUUUUUGCUCUUUAGGCCCGCACCCACAGCAUAUGGAGGUUUCCAGGCUGGGGGUGGAAUGGGAGCUACAGCUGCCAGCCAACACUACAGCCACAACAACUCAGGAUACAAACUGUGUUUGCAACCUACACCACAGACGGCUCAUGUCAAUGCCAUAUCCUUAACCCACUGAGCAAGGCCAGGGAUUGAACCUACAUUCGUUGUGCUUGUUACCAUUGAGUGACAACGGGAACUUCCCUAAGAACAUUUAGAAAGGCGAUAUUUGAGAGCACUUUAGGCAUCUACCAUGUAGAGGAAAUAAAACAUUUUAUGCAAAACAACUUACCAAAAGUGGUACAGUCUAAAUGAUCAUAUAUAUUUUGAGGAAAUUGAAUAUAUUAUUACUAAAACUUCCCACAAGAAAACUCCCAAGACCAAAUGGCUUCCUCAGAAAUGCUUCUAAAUAUUUAUUAUAAAAGUAAGCUUGCAACAGCCAUUUCAGAGAAUAGAAGAAGAACAUUUCUUAAUACAUUUUAUGAAGCCAGCACAACCUUGAUACCAAAAUCUGAUCAGGACACUACAAAAAAUAAAAAUUAGUAACCAAACAUAGAUAUGAAUUUCCCUUAAAAUUAAACCCAUAAAUCCAUGGCACACACACAAGUAUCUAUAUCCCAUUUAAAAUGGGGCUUAUUGUAGUUAUUUAAGAGGGGGUUAACAUUGAAAUAUCAAUCAGUGUCACAGUUAAGUUCAUAGCAGCAUUACCUUAAAAAGUUAUAUACUAGAAAUAACCCAAAUGUCCAUUAGCAGGAAAAUAGGUAUAUAAAUUGUGGUAUUUAAAAAAAAAUUGAAAUAUAGUUGCUUACAAUGUUGUGUUAAUUUCUGCUAUACAGCAGAGUGACUCAGUUAUACAUAUUCUUUUCCAUUAUGGUUUAUCACAGGGUAUUAAAUAUAGUUCCUUGUGCUACACAGUAGGACCUUGUUGUUUAUAAUAAUUUGCCUCUGCUAAUCUGAAACUCCCAAUCCUUCACUCCCCUACCCUCUCUUCCCCUUGGCAACCACAAGACUGUUCUCUAUGUCUGAGUCUGUUUUGUUUAGUAGAUCUGUUGAUUUGAGUCAUAUUUUAGAUUCCACAUGUAAGUAAGUGCUAUCAUGGUAUUUGUCUUUCUCUUUUUGAUUUAUUUUGCCUAGUAUGCUAAUCUCUAGGUUCCUCAUGUUGCUGCAAAUGACAUUAUUUCAUUCUUUUUAAUGGCAUCAAUGUCUGUUGAUGGACAUUUUUAGGUAGCUUUCAGGUCUUGGCUGUUGUGAAUAGUGCUGCUAUGAACAUAGAGGUGCAUUUGUCUUUCAAAUUAUAGUAUUGUCUGGAUAUAUGCCCAGGAGUGGGAUUUCUGGAUCAUGUGGUAAUUCUGUUUUUAGUUUUCUAAGAAACAGUUUAUAUUCUCACCAACAGUGAGGGUUCCUUUUCUCUACACCCUUUCCAGUAUUAUUUUUGAUGAUGGCCAUUCUGACUGUUGUAAGGUGCUCCCACAUUGUAGUUUUGAUUUACAUUUCUCUAAUAAUUUGUGAUGUUGAUCAUCUUUUCAUGUGUUUUUUGGUCAUUUGUAUGUCUUUGGAGAAAUAUCUAUUUAGAUCUUCUGCCCUUUUCUUUUCUUUUCUUUUUUAAAGGGCUGCAAGUGUGGCAUAUGGAAGUUCCCAAGCUAAGGGUCCAAUCUGAGCUUCAGCUGCUAGCCGACACCACAGCCACAGCAACACAAGAUCCAAGCCCAGUCUGUGACCUACAUCACAGCUCAGGGCAACGAAGGAUACUUAAACCACUGAAAGAGGCCAGAGAUUGAACCCACAUCCUCAUGGAUGCUAGUCAGGUUCAUUACUGCUGAGUCACAAUAGGAACUCCCUUCUGCCCAUUUUUUGAUUGGGCUUAAAUGUCCCGUUAUCAUACAAGUGAAGUAAGUCAGACAGAGAAAAAUAAACAUCAUAUAAAAUCAGUUAUAUGUGGAAUCUAAAUUUUAAAAAGAACACAAAUGGAGUUCCCAUUGUGGCUCAGUGGAAACCAAUUUGACUAGUAUCCAUGAAGACGCAGUUUCCAUCCCUGGCCUCUCUCAGUGGGUUAAGGAUCCGGCAUUGCAGUGAGCUGCAGUGUAGCUCACAGACGUGGCUCAGAUCUGGCGUUGCUGUGGCUGUGGCAUAGGUCAGAGGCUACAGCUAUGAUUCAACCCCUAUCCUGGGAACCUCCAUAUGCCUCGAGUGUGGUCCUAAAAAGACCAAUAAAGUAAAAUAAAAUAGGACACAAAUUAACUUAUUUGCAGAGCAGAAACAAACUCACAAGUUUUGAAAACAAAGUUAUGUUUACCAAAGGGGAUAGGUUAGGGGGAGGGAUGUAUAGGGAGUUUGGGACUGGCAUAUACAAACUGUGGUAUAUGGAAUGGUUGGCCAACAGGGACCUGCUGUAUAGCAAGGGAACGCUAUCCAAUAGUCUGUGAUAAUCUAUAUGGGAACAGAGUCUGAAAAAGAGUGUAUGUGUGUGUGUAUAUAUAUACACACACACAUACGUAUAUAAAACUGAACCACUUUUUUGUACAGCAGAAAUUGUCACAAUAUUGUAAAUCAGUUAUACUCUGAUAAAACUUAAAAAGAAGUAUAAAUUUCUUUAGAAUUAAAAAAAAGAAACAAAAUCCUUUACCUGAACAUUUUAGGUGGUUUUCAAAUUACUGUCAUUCUAAACAGUGCCUACAUGGACUCCCUUUGCAGUGCCUGGAGUGCUCUGCUUCUGGCAAUCUGUCAUAUACUUUCCAUUCCACCAUCAUUCACUGCCAGGUCCACACAAUUACUAUGGUAGUGAGAAAUGCCCUCCAGUGCAUCGAGGGAUCUUAAUCAUUCCAGACUUCUUUCCCAGAAUGGCAUCUCAUAAGCUUAUUUUAAAAUAAUGUUUCUAGAGACCAUUCCUAGUUAGAGAUCUUAGGUCUAGGUAAAGAAACAACUCAAGAUUCAUUACUUUAAACUCAGCUAUAUUCUCUGAGGAGACUGGGACAUUAUGGAGCAGUUGUUCUAAAACUUUCCAGUAGUUAACAUUUUGCACAUUUUUUAACCUAAAAAUGACAUGUUCAUUUUGUGAGUAUAUUUAAAAUUCCUAGUAAUUCCUCAACUUUCCAGGUUUUCUGAUUCCAGUAGAACCAAAUUCUGAU
rnacentral:lncRNA from 1 species